UGUAGGAGUGAGCCUGCUCGCGAUAGCGGUGUGUCAGUCGCUAUGUGUGUUGAUUGAUACACCGCUAUCGCGAGCAGGCUCACUCCCACA
rnacentral:misc_RNA from 1 species